GAUGAAGAACGCAGCGAAAUGCGAUACGUAAUGUGAAUUGCAGAAUUCAGUGAAUCAUCGAGUCUUUGAACGCACAUUGCGCCCCCUGGUAUUCCGGGGGGCAUGCCUGUCCGAGCGUCAUUGCUGCCCUCAAGCCCGGCUUGUGUGUUGGGCCUUGCUCCCCCGGGGGCAGGCCCGAAAGGCAGUGGCGGCACCGCGUCCGAUCCUCGAGCGUAUGGGGCUUUGUCACCCGCUCUGUAGGCCCGGCCGGCGCUUGCCGACCCCAAUCAAUCUUUUUUCAGGUUGACCUCGGAUCAGGUAGGGAUACCCGCUGAACUUAAGCAUAUCAAUAAGCGGAGGA
rnacentral:misc_RNA from 1 species